UACGGAGGGAGCUAGCGUUGUUCGGAAUUACUGGGCGUAAAGCGCGCGUAGGCGGCUUUGUAAGUUAGAGGUGAAAGCCCGGGGCUCAACCCCGGAACUGCCUUUAAGACUGCAUCGCUUGAAUCCAGGAGAGGUGAGUGGAAUUCCGAGUGUAGAGGUGAAAUUCGUAGAUAUUCGGAAGAACACCAGUGGCGAAGGCGACUCGC
rnacentral:rRNA from 1 species